rnacentral:lncRNA from 1 species
UUGCUUCAUACCUGAGCUAUUGGAUCUUGAUUAGCACUCGGGGACCCUCCCCUAUGGUGCCGUUGAUAUUCCGUGAUCUUUAGCAUUAUCCGGUUAUUAUACAAAGAACUCAAAGCAAUCUCAGGAGCUAUUCCAUAGGACGAUGAUCAUGAUUCUAGGGCGGACCUGUGCCUUAGAGCCUAAAAAUGAAGUUUGAACUAGCUUAAUUAUGUUUUGAUUUCCGUACUCU